rnacentral:lncRNA from 11 species
GCAGCACCCCAAAGGGACAAACUGAGUAUGCUCAAAAAACUUCUCAGCUCUUACAUUAAUACAGAGCAAGGCUGAGAUUUCAAAGAGAGGAGGAUUUCUUUCAACAAAUAAUGCAGGUGGAGGGCUGGUGGGCAAGGCCUCAAAUCUGUAAUGUGAUGAGAAAUUUACUCAAAGAAUGCGGAGAACAUACCGGGUUGCAUGGAAGUGUGUUGAAGAAGAUGGCUGUUGACUUCAGACACCACAGAUGUCCUUUUGGACCGGAGAUUAUGAAUAAGGAAUAA